AGAGUUUGAUCAUGGCUCAGGACGAACGCUGGCGGCGUGCUUAACACAUGCAAGUCGAGCGGAAAGGCUCCUUCGGGGGUACUCGAGCGGCGAACGGGUGAGUAACACGUGAGUAAUCUGCCCUCCACUUUGGGAUAGCCACCGGAAACGGUGAUUAAUACCGGAUAUGACCUCGGCCCGCAUGGGUUGUGGUGGAAAGUUUUUCGGUGGGGGAUGUGCUCGCGGCCUAUCAGCUUGAUGGUGGGGUAAUGGCCUACCAUGGCUUCGACGGGUAGCCGGCCUGAGAGGGUGACCGGCCACACUGGGACUGAGACACGGCCCAGACUCCUACGGGAGGCAGCAGUGGGGAAUCUUGCGCAAUGCGCGAAAGCGUGACGCAGCAACGCCGCGUGGGGGAAGACGGCCUUCGGGUUGUAAACCCCUUUCAGUUGGGACGAAGCUUCGCCGGUGAAUAGCCGGCUGGAGUGACGGUACCUUCACAAGAAGCCCCGGCUAACUACGUGCCAGCAGCGGCGGUAAUAC
rnacentral:rRNA from 1 species